rnacentral:sRNA from 1 species
AGCAGCCGCGGUAAUUCCAGCUCCAAUAGCGUAUAUUAAAGUUGUUGCAGUUAAAAAGCUCGUAGUUGAAUUUCGGAUCAGUACGCUGGUCGUGCCUUCGGUAUGUACUGGUGUCACUGAUUCCUCCCUUCUGAAGAACCAUCAUGCCAUUCACUUGGUGUGGUGGGGAAUCAGGACUGUUACUUUGAAAAAUUAGAGUGUUUAAAGCAGGCUCGCGCUUGAAUACAUUAGCAUGGGAUAAUGAAAUAGGACGUUAAUCCUAUUUUGUUGGUUUCUAGGAUCGACGUAAUGAUUAAUAGGGAUAGUUGGGGGCAUUAGUAUUCAAUUGUCAGAGGUGAAAUUCUUGGAUUUAUUGAAGACUAACUACUGCGAAAGCAUUUGCCAAGGAUGUUUUCAUUAAUCAAGAACGAAAGUUAGGGGAUCGAAGACGAUCAGAUACCGUCGUAGUCUUAACCAUAAAUUAUGCCGACUAGGGAUCGGAUGAUGUUAAUUUUUAAUGACUCU